UUUAGAACACGAAGUGGUUGAUGCCAUGCUUCCAAGAAAAGCUUCUAAGCUUCAGGUAACCAGGAACCGUACCCCAAACCGACACAGGUGGUUGGGUAGAGAAUACCAAGGCGCUUGAGAGAACUCGGGUGAAGGAACUAGGCAAAAUGGCACCGUAACUUCGGGAGAAGGUGCGCCGGUGGAGGUGAAGCAUUUACUGCGUAAGCCCCUGCCGGUCGAAGAUACCAGGCCGCUGCGACUGUUUAUUAAAAACACAGCACUCUGCAAACACGAAAGUGGACGUAUAGGGUGUGACGCCUGCCCGGUGCCGGAAGGUUAAUUGAUGGGGUUAGCGCAAGCGAAGCUCUUGAUCGAAGCCCCGGUAAACGGCGGCCGUAACUAUAACGGUCCUAAGGUAGCGAAAUUCCUUGUCGGGUAAGUUCCGACCUGCACGAAUGGCGUAACGAUGGCGGCGCUGUCUCCACCCGAGACUCAGUGAAAUUGAAAUCGCUGUGAAGAUGCAGUGUAUCCGCGGCUAGACGGAAAGACCCCGUGAACCUUUACUAUAGCUUUGCACUGGACUUUGAAUUUGCUUGUGUAGGAUAGGUGGGAGGCUUUGAAGCGUGGACGCCAGUCUGCGUGGAGCCAACCUUGAAAUACCACCCUGGCAACUUUGAGGUUCUAACUCAGGUCCGUUAUCCGGAUCGAGGACAGUGUAUGGUGGGUAGUUUGACUGGGGCGGUCUCCUCCUAAAGAGUAACGGAGGAGUACGAAGGUGCGCUCAGACCGGUCGGAAAUCGGUCGUAGAGUAUAAAGGCAAAAGCGCGCUUGACUGCGAGACAGACACGUCGAGCAGGUACGAAAGUAGGUCUUAGUGAUCCGGUGGUUCUGUAUGGAAGGGCCAUCGCUCAACGGAUAAAAGGUACUCCGGGGAUAACAGGCUGAUACCGCCCAAGAGUUCAUAUCGACGGCGGUGUUUGGCACCUCGAUGUCGGCUCAUCACAUCCUGGGGCUGAAGCCGGUCCCAAGGGUAUGGCUGUUCGCCAUUUAAAGUGGUACGCGAGCUGGGUUUAGAACGUCGUGAGACAGUUCGGUCCCUAUCUGCCGUGGACGUUUGAGAUUUGAGAGGGGCUGCUCCUAGUACGAGAGGACCGGAGUGGACGAACCUCUGGUGUUCCGGUUGUCACGCCAGUGGCAUUGCCGGGUAGCUAUGUUCGGAAAAGAUAACCGCUGAAAGCAUCUAAGCGGGAAACUUGCCUCAAGAUGAGAUCUCACUGGAACCUUGAGUUCCCUAAAGGGCCGUCGAAGACUACGACGUUGAUAGGUUGGGUGUGUAAGCGCUGUGAGGCGUUGAGCUAACCAAUACUAAUUGCCCGUGAGGCUUGACCAUAUAACACCCAAGCAAUU
rnacentral:rRNA from 2 species